UGCCCUUUAUAUUCUGCCCCAGGAAAGCUGGAAGCUCCAAGUGAGGCCCAUUGUGGGCCAAGGGAUCCUCUGCCUGGCAUCCCUGAGCUCUCUUCCCCAUCAGGCUCUGAUGUCUUGCUGUCUGCUCCUCAAAAGCCAGGAAAGAGUAAAUUUAGAUUCUCUCAGGGGUGGACUCAGAGUGAGAAGAUGCAGAAUACUUCAGAAGAGGGAAGGAAAAAGGCUUUUCCAGAUCACAUAAAAUCUGACUUUUUAGUUAAACACAAGUUCCUUGUGACUAUUAUUGCCUAAUAUUUCAGCUGAUUGGGCAGUUGCCUAUAAAGAGAAGUGUCACCAAAGGAUGCUCAGUCUCCAGAACAGUUCAUUUAGCAAAAAGCUGGUGUCUUACAAAAGCAUGAACAGAAACACAGCAGCAUUUAACUGAACCUAAGAGAGGAAAUAAAGCAGAGGAAAUAAAGAGAGGAAAUAAAGAGGGGAGAUAAAGAGAUCACAGAUGCUAAGCUUCCAAGCACUGCUCCAUGCACUGUGAGAAGGAAAUCUGAUGUGUAUUACACGACUUGAAGAACAGGACAAUAGGCAAGAACUCCUCAGCUAACACUGAGCCAGCCCCAAAGAUUCUCUUCAGGAUGCAACCCAAGAGGUAAAGGGCAUCAAUCUGCAUGUACUUGAGACACAAAGGACAAGAACCCCCUCUGCUCUUGCUAUGGCUUCUUCUGUCACUGCUGUUUGUUGGCUGGGCCACUGAGAUAGAACAAGCAGCAGGGAGCUAACAGAUCCAUCCACAUUCACUAAAGAGGAGUCAGGAGUCUUCCAGUGCAGGGGUCCUGUUUGAUUCACACCAAAGGAUGAGGUGCACCUGCAAGGAACAAAUCAACUAUUCCUCUCUUCUCUACUACUGCAUGUCACCAGGUGUCCCUGCCCACUGCAGGGGGGGAUUGGAGCUGGAUGAUCUUGAAGAUCUCUUCCAACCCAAACCAUUCUAUGCUAUUUUUUGAGGUCAUUUGAGACAUGAGCCUGGCUUCUCAGGAGCAAUCUUGUCCCCCCUUCUUUAGCUGUGUAACAACAUCAGACAGCUCAGCAACGUGGCCAAUGUAUUUCAGAUGUUGCCUGAACUGGUUUCUUGCCAGUGAAGUUAAAUCACCUGACUCAUGAAGGAGGGCAGUAUAUAAUGAUGCUAUUUUGCUUUACAGCUAGAGCAGACAGGCAGGGAUGAUAGGAUGCCUCCAGGAACCCUGACAUGAUUGAUAUGUGCCUGAAUUCCCAGGUGUAAUAGUGCAAAAUAAAGCUAGGAGGAAGCAAGCUGUGCUCAGGGUGUAACGUGGCCACAGCAGCACAGCUGGCUGCAUCCCUGCUUCGUGAAGGCAAGAAAGAUUGGCAGGGACACUGCUACCCAGCUAAGAAAAAUCAACUCUGCAAAUGCUGCCAUUAAAUAAAAGAGAGGGGAGGUGUGGGAGUGGGGGAGGAAACAACACACAACUAAACAGCCUGUCAAAGCACUAUCAAGAGAAGAGAAAUACUGAGGCAAUGUCAGUCUGGUUGCCACCAGGCAUGGCUUGAUGUUUGUGGAGAGUGACAUUGUGCAAUGCUCCUGAGAAAUCUCCCUUUGGCACGGGGGAAGAGCUUUCACAUUUACCCUAGAAGCACUUACUGAGCUAUUUGCACUCGCUGCCACAAGAGUUUCUGUCAAGAGGACAGCUGGGAGCUCUGGCAGGAAAAUGUUUCUUAGGGUGCCAUUCACUAAGAAAUACAUGGUACAAGCAAUCCAACUUGUCUGGGUUGUUUCAAGCACAGUGCAAACACUGCUCAGCUUCAAAACGCAGAGGUGCUCUGGCUGGAAAAUAGAAUUUUUAUGGGACCCAAGAGGAGCCCAAACCACUGAAUGCCAGGAGAAACGUGCUCCUUUUGUCCUGCACAGCAAGGGUGAGUUACUGCUUCAAGAAUCUUUCUCCUUUCUGCAGGUGGAAAUUGUAGCAGAACUAGAGAUAGAAAUAUUUGGGUGAAAAAUGAGGAGGAGAGAGGAGCCUAAGCUGCUGGCUUGCUGGUUGGGAAAAAGACACAACAAACCAAAAACCCUUUCAAAUGCAAAUCUUGGAA